rnacentral:tRNA from 1 species
UCCUCGGUAGCUCAACGGUGGAGCGACCGGCUGUUAACCGGUAGGUUGCUGGUUCGAAUCCAGCCCGGGGAGCCA